rnacentral:rRNA from 1 species
AGUGAACGCUGGCGGUAGGCCUAACACAUGCAAGUCGAACGGCAGCACAGUAAGAGCUUGCUCUUACGGGUGGCGAGUGGCGGACGGGUGAGGAAUACAUCGGAAUCUACUUUUUCGUGGGGGAUAACGUAGGGAAACUUACGCUAAUACCGCAUACGACCUACGGGUGAAAGCAGGGGAUCUUCGGACCUUGCGCGAUGAAUGAGCCGAUGUCGGAUUAGCUAGUUGGCGGGGUAAAGGCCCACCAAGGCGACGAUCCGUAGCUGGUCUGAGAGGAUGAUCAGCCACACUGGAACUGAGACACGGUCCAGACUCCUACGGGAGGCAGCAGUGGGGAAUAUUGGACAAUGGGCGCAAGCCUGAUCCAGCCAUACCGCGUGGGUGAAGAAGGCCUUCGGGUUGUAAAGCCCUUUUGUUGGGAAAGAAAAGCAGCAGGUUAAUACCCCGCUGUUCUGACGGUACCCAAAGAAUAAGCACCGGCUAACUUCGUG